rnacentral:rRNA from 1 species
GGGUGAGUAACACGUGGGUAACCUGCCCAUCAGAAGGGGAUAACACUUGGAAACAGGUGCUAAUACCGUAUAACAAUCGAAACCGCAUGGUUUUGAUUUGAAAGGCGCUUUCGGGUGUCGCUGAUGGAUGGACCCGCGGUGCAUUAGCUAGUUGGUGAGGUAACGGCUCACCAAGGCCACGAUGCAUAGCCGACCUGAGAGGGUGAUCGGCCACAUUGGGACUGAGACACGGCCCAAACUCCUACGGGAGGCAGCAGUAGGGAAUCUUCGGCAAUGGACGAAAGUCUGACCGAGCAACGCCGCGUGAGUGAAGAAGGUUUUCGGAUCGUAAAACUCUGUUGUUAGAGAAGAACAAGGAUGAGAGUAACUGUUCAUCCCUUGACGGUAUCUAACCAGAAAGCCACGGCUAACUACGUGCCAGCAGCCGCGGUAAUACGUAGGUGGCAAGCGUUGUCCGGAUUUAUUGGGCGUAAAGCGAGCGCAGGCGGUUUCUUAAGUCUGAUGUGAAAGCCCCCGGCUCAACCGGGGAGGGUCAUUGGAAACUGGGAGACUUGAGUGCAGAAGAGGAGAGUGGAAUUCCAUGUGUAGCGGUGAAAUGCGUAGAUAUAUGGAG